rnacentral:lncRNA from 1 species
AAAAAUAAACGACCGAGGCGGCCCUCAGGGCGACCUCUCGCUUUACUGUUUUCCCUUCGCUCUUCCUCCACCUAGCGACGCUGAGGCCACGCGACCAUCGCCGGUAAAAGAGAGAGAGAGAAAAAAAAGAGAGGUUACAAGAACGUGGAACUUAUCGGCUAGAAUGGGGACGGGACGCAACUUUUCUUUUUAAAAAAAAACAACUAAAACUGAGAUUUCCGUUGAAAGCCAAGCCGCCCGCCACACCGCCUCGCGCCAAGCCACGCGCCGACCCCCUGAGGCUGCUGGCGAAUGCCGUCCAAGCUGCCUCCAGGUUAUUUUAAAAGAUCCAAGCCCCACGACCAACAAGGGACGUGGCCAGGAGGAGGACGUGCUCGUUUCCCAUCCACUCAUCACUGAGCCUUCCACUAGGUAGGAACCUCGAAGUCCCGCCCCCUGGUAGGAUUGGUGUCGGGAGGGGAAAGAGAAGGGCUUGAAGCGCUGAUUGCCGGUAACGGAGGGAAGUGAGCUCCGCCUGGCUACGANNNNNNNNNNNNNNNNNNNNNNNNNNNNNNNNNNNNNNNNGCGUGUGUGUGAGCGCGCACGGCACGCGGCCGGCGCUAAAUCAAAAGGUAACGACCACCGAGAAGAGGCAGUUGGAGGAGGGGGGGUGGCGCGCGGAGAAGGCAAAAGGAGCUGCUUCCCUCCUCCUCCUCCUCCUCCUCCUCUCGCCCCCCCCUCGCCUUCCAGACCUGAAGAGCGGAGUUCUGAGGGGAAACAAAUACUGCAAUAAUCUUCGCGCCCAGCCACGCCGGUCUCAGAGGGUGCGAAGAGAUAGGCUAAGCCAGGGGGACCUUGUCAUAUGAAAGGCAGUGCACACCCUAGUCCUUUGUUUUUGGUAUUUGACUGUUGAUUGUUGAAGGAACUACACAUUGUUUCCUUUCAAAGUGCCUUUCCAUUCUUUUGUAAGUAUUUCUUGACAUGUUUGACUGCCACUUAAUAUCUGAGCACUUAAUUUCCACCAUCUCUCUCUCUGAACAUUAACUCCCCCCCCCCGUGAAAAUACACUGGUAGGUAGGAUGGAUGGAUAUUUGCAAAUUUCUCUUUGUUGCAAAUUAUCUUGGCAGUUAAUGUUUUCCAAACAGUAUAUACCAAAUGUCAGUUGUCAUUAUGUAUACAGUUGUCACUCUGGUUGCAAUAAACCAGGAAAAGUAUUGUUGCUGCA